CACUAAAUGUCUCCCACUGCUCGCUGCUCUGAUUCAGCUGGGACCAAGUCUGGUUUAGGGACAGCAUUGACAGAGAUUUGCUUGGAGGAGCCUCUGCAGGAGAGCCUGAAUAACCUACCUCAACUGGCUGAUCCCCAACGUCUGCUGAAUCUUCCAAACCAAUCAGUUUGGGCAUUAAGCUUUCAGGGAGUUUUUCUCUUUUCUUGAGGUGGAGGUGGAGAAUGUCCUACCUACACUGUGUCACCAGCAGAAGAACCUGAUUGUGCUUCACCAAAGGGAGCCCAGAAUGGCCCAGGCUCUGCAAGAGGCCUCUCACUCUUUCCUCCACUGGGAUGACGGUUUUGAUUCCUCCAUGUGUGUGGAGAAGUUGGUGGAGACUGCUGUGGGGAUCUUCCUGACCCAGGGAUCAAACCGGCAUCUCCUGCAGCCCCUUCGUUGCAGGUGGAUUCUUUACCUC
ensembl:lncRNA